rnacentral:lncRNA from 1 species
CCAAUAUGAUUAUAAUACUACGGGGAAGAGAAGAAAAGUUAUUAAAGUGGAUAGUUUAUCGAUCAGUGGGCUACUUGGUAUUUAGGACUCGAGCACCACACCUAUGAUUGCACCUCCGUAUGAUGUCUCUUAGACUUCUAUUAAAGAUACUCCAGUUGUUAAUACACCCCUUGCACCGCCUCCUUUAUGCACUAGACAGCUUCUUCCUCAGCCUUUUCAGCCUCUUAGAGCUGAUACAAUGAUUAAUUUUUCUUAGGUGGCUUCCUCGACCCACAUUGCUAAAAACACUCUAUCUCCAUUGGUCAUUGAUAUAGCACAGUUCAUCCAGAUGGCCAUUGAUAGGCGUCAUGAGACUGUACGUGCUUAGAUGUAAGACUAAGAGUGACGAUUGUCCAUGGUUGAAGAGAGAGCAAAUAGUUUGGUAGUUACAACUCUUGGGGC